UUGAAAGGGAAACGAUUGAAGUCAGUCGUACCCUCGGGUAAUCAGCCUUUUGGGUGUGAUUUUGUGGAGUGUGAGGAGUUAAACGCCUUCAUGCCUGCAUAUUCGUGCACUUUGGGUGUAUUUACCCGUGUGGUAAGUUAACAUCAAUUUCGGUGGUCAUAAAAUGGCUGGAGGAAUGUAGCUUCGAUCUUGUAUUGAAGUGUUAUAGCCUUCGGUAGAUGUGAUAAUCGGGAUUGAGGAUUGCAACGGAUACCCCUCGGGGCUACCUGUCUGAUCUCUGAUCGUUGCUCUGGUGCCGAAAGCUUGCUUACGGUUAUCAAAGUCGAUGGUCAAUAGGUUAGAACGGGUUAAAUUCGUUAAGGAUGUUGACGUA
rnacentral:rRNA from 1 species